rnacentral:ncRNA from 1 species
GGAAGCCGGGUUACGGUGCCCAACUGCGCGCUAACCUAGAACCCACAAAGGGUGUUGGUCGAUUAAGACAGCAGGACGGUGGUCAUGGAAGUCGAAAUCCGCUAAGGAGUGUGUAACAACUCACCUGCCGAAUCAACUAGCCCCGAAAAUGGAUGGCGCUGAAGCGCCCGACCCACACCCGGCCAUCUGGGCGAGCGCCAUGCCCCGAUGAGUAGGAGGGCGCGGC